GCAAUGCUCAUAUACUCCAGCCCCAUAUGCGCUGGAUGUAGUGUGCCCAGGAAAAGGCACAAGCCACCUUAGGAUGGAAAGGACCUGGUGCAUGGCAGAUUCUCUGUGAAUGAGUUUCCCUUCUGUCUCUAUCCAUUCCAAAACAUUCUCUACGAGAAGCACAAAGAAAAGGGCAAAAAGACAGUCAUGAGGACAAUCACAAGGACAAGGCAUCUUGGGGAUCCCUCCCAGCCUCAAGAUCCUGAAUGAUUUCGGACUACAUUUUUAACAGGGUGAACCAGCACCACUGCUUAAUGCUUCCAGCCAUGUUGUGAAUCUCUGCUGAGUUAGGGAUGAAGUGGGAGACUCUGAUGGUGAUGACUCUCACUCACAUGAUCAUGCCUGGGGAGGUGGUGGCAGCUGUGGUCUGUGUUACCUUACUCUAAACAGAGGCAGAGCAAAGAUAGAGAUCUUGUGGUUGACUCAAGGGCCUGGGCUGAGCUAUACACAGGGCCCCACAGGACGCCCAGAAUAGGGAGGGAAGCAUGGUCCAGCAGGCCCACCAGAAGGGAACCCUGACUCCUCCUCCCCUUCUCUUUGAGUUCCUGAGAAGAGAUAAAGAGAAAAAAACAAAAGCGAACCUGGGGCUGAGGCAGAAGGAUGAGCACACUGGCUAGCAUUUCCUGAGUAUUCCCUCUACACUAAAAGAUGAACACAACUGACCUCAUUUAACUUUUGGAGCAACCCUGCAAGGCCCAUGGUGGUGUGGGAGCAGGCUGCCCCAGGGCAUGGACAGAAAGGUUGGAACCUGUGUCACGGAGCAGGAGCAGAGUGAGGUGUGUGCCUCCUUACCGCCUUGGUGCACUGGACAUCCUUCCCCAGCAGCCAGUUGAGCUCCAGGUUGCCCUCGCCCUGGUAGCAGGACUGCAGGCGCUCCUUGAUCUGCAAGUUGAUGGCCCGGAUAGGGAAGGCACACAGGGCAGAGUCAUCGGGCGGGUGGUGAUACUGCUUCUGCCCUUUGGAGAAGAUGGCGAAGAGUACAUCGUCCUGGCUGGUGAUAUUGAAGGCCUGGGUCAGUGAGUCCCCAGGCUUGGCCAGGUAAGCAGCCUGCAGGAGGCGGUAUUCCACCCCGGCCCGGGUACAGCCAAAGGGCAGGGACACAUAUGAAUGGAACUUGGGGUCAUCCUUGCAGAGCCGCACGAUGCGUGAGGUGUAGAAGAGGUCUCCAGCGGAGUUGAUGGCCACACCCUCGGGGGUCUCGGGCUGGACAGUGAGAAAGUAGACAAAGCCCCCACUAGCAAAGCCGUAGAUGUAGAAGAUGUCAAAGUGGGAGACCAGAGCCAGGGUGUCCGAAGGGAUCUUGAUGAGAGAGGAGACAAAAUCGCUGUGUAGCUCAUAGUCAAGCAUGGCUGAGGACUCAGGGUCUCGGGGCAGCUUCCGGCUGGACAGGGUCGGGAAGUAAUCCUGCUUCCCAUCCACAGCCGUGCCGAUGAAGAGCUUGCCGUCCUCACCCUCGGAGCGCACAAUCACCCCGUACAUGGUGCCCGUCUUGUUGACGCUGGACAGGUAGUGCUCCUUCUUGUGGGACGGCUCCACCAGGAUGAAGAGGUCAUCCAGCCGCAGCAGCUUGCAGACCCCCUGGUAGAGGCUCCCACAGGCCAGCAGGCGGUUCUCAGAGUAGUCAAUGAUGAGCAGCUUGUUGACAUUGUUGGUGAGGGUGAGCACUUCGCUGCAGGGCUGCACGAUGAGGGGCGGGUAACAAGACUUGUUGUCCUCUUCUGGCCCUGUCUUAUGAGCUACCUGGAUGGUCAGGUUGCCCGUCAGCUUGUAGACCCGGUUGAUGGCCCCCACAUAGACGGCCCCCGUCCCUCGGUGGACGGUCAAGUGGUUAAAGGUCCAGUCACGAUUCUCAGAGUGGAAGGUGCUGAACUGAGGCAUACCGGCUGCUGGGGGGGCCAGCAGCACCCAGACCACUGAGAGCAGGACCACAGAGCGGCUGUCCACCUCCGGCGCCCGGGGCCAGGGCCGCCUCUGUUCCAUGCUGAGAGGGGCGGCGGUGAGGAGACGGCUCCUGUGUGUGCUCAUCUGCUCCACCUUCCCCGGUCGGCCCUCACAUGAUUCUGCAAAACACAAGGCAGAGUGGUCAGACCAAAAAUAAGUUCCGGGAGGAGCAAAGAGGCUGGCCUGACCCAGGGUCCCCAUCCUGGUUUAGCUCUGUGAAUCUCUUCCUUCUGAAUUUUGGUUUUUCUAUUUUUAACAUACUUUCUCCCUCUUAGGAAUGUUCAGGGAAUCCUGUUAUCUAUUUUGGUCUCUAGCCUUUACACUGUAAAAUACUUGCUUUUUAAAAAAUUUUAUUUUACAAAGCGUCUCUAUUUCUGGCCUCUUAAGCCAUCGUUUUCAUCUCUCAGAGAGGUUAAAAGGCUGUUGAAGUUCACCCAGCCAGUCAAUCCGGUGUCAGGACUAAACCCAGUCUUCCCCACCCAACCGGCACAUCUUAUCCCAGUCUAGUGGAAAUCGCUCCUGUUUUUUGAAAGCUUGUUAGGCAGGCACCCCCCAACCCCCCACCCAAGCUCUCCAGGUCAACUGCUCCCAGAGUCUGAUAUUGCACACAAAAUUCCUUCCUAUUUUAGACUUCCAUCACCUCACUCCACUGCAACUCUUUACUUUCUCAUGCUCUGUUAUCCACAGAGAGGCGAGGUGCUGGUCACUCUGAGUGAGAGUGCCCCUCUCUGCCCUCAGCCCUUUCUUCUCCAGCAAGAAGAACCCCUGAUCACUAGCUGUUAGAACAGCUGUUAGAACUUGUUAGGAAAGGGAAAAAUGUUGUAGCCAACAAGACUGGGAUUCCCACAUGUGCCAUUCCAGAGCCUGAAAAGCCCUCGGGAGACAGGCAGGUCUCCUGAGAUCCCCCCAUCCUUCUCAAGGUGGACACCCAGCCGCUGCCAGGCAGCCAGGUCCUCAGGAAAUUGCUUCAACCUCUGCCUCUCUGCAGGCAGAGCACAUGGGGAGCCAGGACACACAGAGAACCAGUCUCCUUGCUAGGGGUUACUGGCUGGCUGAGUCCAGCUUCAGCCACCUGGGGCAGGGGUACCAGGUUUGGGAGAAUGUGGGGAGCAGCAAACGGUGGUGAGGUGAGGUUCAGUCUCAUUUCAGGCACUGCUGGGGCCUCCUGACUGUUUCAGCAUCUAUGAAAUCACCCGUGGGCCUCAGUGGGCCAUGCUUGAAGCCCAGUCUGUAGCCCUGACUCCUUUACUCUUCCCCCUGCCUCCCGACUCCCAGGCUUUAAGGCUCCUCUGCUUCCACAGCCUUGGUGCUUACUCUUCCUUGUUCCAAGGAAGCUGCCCAGAGGGGCAAGGUGGGGCUCCUGAGGACAGCCUGUAGCCAGGGGCAGGCUGGGCCAGGGGCAGGAAGUCAGAGAGCAGAGCCUGGAUGUCAGAGAGCAGGACCUGGAGGUCAGAGAGCAGGGCCUGUUCCAUCACUGUCAUGGUACUGCCUGGACGUAUGGAGAGGAACAGUGGGAAGUGACUGUGGCACCAGGAGGAGAAGGCAGCGAGCUGUCCCGCAGGGAAAGCUUUUCUCAGCGGGACAGAUCAUCCAGCAACCUUCUCAGGCAAGUCCAGACAGAACUCUGGGCACAUAAGGUGGCAGGGAUGGAAACACCCGAAGGAUGGAGAGUUUGCUCCAAGGCAGCUUAGGAGAGGCCUUUGUCCCUCAACUCCCCAUUCCGGCUGGAUUGGGUUAUAAUUAGAACAGACACCACUUAGAGAAUCCCCUAGAGUUUCUUUAGGAACGACCCUUCCUCUUGUUCAGUUCUGCAUCCUCGGCCUGGCAGCCACCAUGGUGCCACAGUAGGUCCCACCUAACUCCCUCCUCCAACUCGACUUCCCCAGGGUGUUCGGGGUGACUCAUGAGGCCCUGGGCUUCCUUGGAAAGAGGAAGGCAACACCGGCAUGAGACCCAGGCUGACCUCAGCUACUCCGACACAGCCCUUCCGGCCCCAGGCGCACACCGGCAAAGCCUCCCAACAGACAGAGCUUUCAGUUUGGAAACCAGAGGUUAUUUUUAGCUAUGUCCUGAGGCCGGUAGCAGGACGUGAAUUCCUGAAGAGGAGCUGUGGAAAGGAAAUAACAGAAUCCUUAAAUUCUCCAGCUGGACGGGGAAUUGCAAGAGGCCAUUCUCUGCCCCUGUCUCUGGGAAGAAAAUCUCCUUGGAUUCCAGGUGGAGAGUGGUUCCCUCUUGAGGAGCCGCGAGGGGAGGAAGGGGGUCCUGGCAGCAGAGAUAACAUGGAAGGACAUGGUAUGCAGUUAAGAUCAGCCACCUCACCUCCCUGCUUGGCAUCCUCCCAAGACACAGUUUGAGUAGUGAGUGGCUUUUGUUGUUGUUAGACAGAAUUUGGGAACAAAUUUGGGAUUUAGGGCAAGUCUCAUGUCCUUUUCUGGUAGAAUGGGAAUAACUACAGCAUGUACCUUUCAAGGUGUCAUGACAGUAAAUGAGACAAUAUAGAGACCAACCUCUUAGCAUGGUUGCAGGCACACAGUGAGCACUUAUGUUAGUUUUUGUUAUUAUUAGUAUUAUUAUGAUUGAGACAGUGUCUUGCUGUGUCGCCCAGGCUGGAGUACAGUGGCACGAUCGCAGCUCAUUGAGACCUCCGCCUCCCUGGUUCAAGAGAUUCCCCUGCCUCAGCCUCCAGAGUAGAUGGGACUACAGGCACGUGCCACCACACCUGGCUAAUUUUUUUUUUUUUUUGUAUUUUUAGUAGAGACAGGGUUUCACCAUGUUGGCCACACUGCUCUCAAUCUCCUGACCUCGUGAUCCACCCGCCUUGGCUUCCUAAAGUGCUGGGAUUACAGGUGUGAGUCACUGCACCUGGCCUGUUAUUAUCUUUGAAGACUCCACAGGAGAUGGCACUUCAGAAAUCCUGCCACAGCUCUUGACUUCUCUUUUUGCUUAUAUUCUUCCUUUCCCACCCACAAUGAGAUGAACAUUGUGGGUGUGCCUUUGAUCCCUAGGCCUCCCCGACCCAGUGACAGAGCUCAGUCUGGGAAGCAUGUGGCAAGGGAAAAAAAUAGAUCCAAGGUGAUCUUCUCUGUCAUACUACUGCACAAGUCCCAAUAUAGCCUCUCCGCAGACUGCAGGAAGGCUGGUGGAAACACAGGAUCCUGAGAGUUAGACUGAAAAUGAGAAAACUGUCCUGAUGUCUAGAAGGCAUGAGGUCACAGGGCAGGAAGAAAGGUGGGAGACUCAGGAACCCUGGGUUCCCAUUCUGCCUGUGUGACUCAUGAAUUAUAGUGUCACUCACUUUAGACCAGUCUAGCAUUUCCAUGAGCCUAUUUCUUGAUCUUAAAACAAAAGGUAUUUGAAUUAGUCAACCUAUAAGAUUUCCUUUUUCAGAUAAAAUGCUACCUCGAAGCUUAGUUCCUUCAGUUCCUGGAGUCUGUGAUUCCAGUAGCAGCUGAGGUUUUUUGCUCCAACCUGGAGAGGCUGAUUAGGCCAGGAGCUUUUUUUUUUUUUUUUUUUUUUUUUUCAGGCCAGUAGUUCUAAACAGACCACUCCAGCUGGGCUGUUUUCCUCUCACCCUCAUGCAGCAUUUGCUUUGGGACAGGCCACUCCUGGUAACCAGCCAAGUGAAUUCAUCUCACAGGACUCAGGGACCGCCCACCUGGGAGCAGCUGUCAUUGGACACUGGAGUCAAGAGGAGGCACAGUCUCCUGCAGUGAGGAGAGGUUUGCACCCCACCUUGGGAGUGUGGCCUUCAUAAAGACAGCUGACUUCAAGGGCACGUUGAGAGCUUUCAUCUUUCUAUGCCAAAUUGAUGUGACUAAGUGGCUGUUCCAAGCAGAGCCCAGUGGGCAAAGAUCAGACCUCCUAUCCACAUUCUGAGUAAGGAGGGACGGAGCCCACCUUUGUGGCUCUGGUGAGAGGCAGUGUGAUAUAACAGUUAAAUGCAUGAGCUCUGAACUUAGGUGCCUGGAUGCAAAUGGAGCCUAUAGCUGCGUACACUUGGUCAAGGUACUUAGCCGUUCUAUUCUAUCUAACUAUCUAUAUAAAAUAGGUUUAGUACUAGUAGCUACGUCGUAGGAUUAUUACAAUGAAAUCAGCUAAUACAUAUAAAGCACUUAGAACAGUUCAUGGCCAUCUUAAGUGUUUAAGAUACAUUAGCCUUUGUUAUUAGCAAUUUGUUUGUCAUUAUUUCUAGCUCCACACCUCCAUCCAUCCCAUCAUCUGUCUUAGGAUGAAUUUCCCAUCCUCAGUUUGGUAGACACUGGUAAACAAACAUGCAUAUGACUUUGCAUACCUAGUACGACUUCCUCCUAUCCCCAAUUUUCUGCUAGUGUCAACCUCAGGGGUUUUCUCUUAAUAAUGAUGCUUUCGUCUUUCUGUCGCAUCCCUCUCUGUCUAGUGCAUGAAGUCACUUGUUACAUGCAUUCUUAAGAGCCAAAACUUGUCUAGUCUCUGUUCUACCAGUUUCCCUCUCUCCUACUCCAAGUCUCAAAGCAGGUAUGCUGCUCCGGGACUCUUGCCUAAACAACAGACUCUCCCAGGACAUGUAACUUGGAGCGUUCCUGAUGCCAAGGAGAGGCCAUGCUUGCCUCUUUGGGAAGCAAGUGCCACUGAAUAUUUUAUGUGGAGGGCCUGAUGACACCAUCUCCCCGAUCAGGAUUCAAGAGACUUUGUGCGGUUUUGUGAAGCGAGGUGACUAUACCUUGCCCCACAGUGAAGAAGGAAGGUGAGAGGAGAGAGGGGAGGAAAACAGGUCUCUGCCUGCAUGCACCCUUGGCAGCCUUCUCUUAGAAGGUGACACAGAUGACACUGUGGCCCCUCCAGGAGGUGUCAAGACAAAUUUGGGUGACAAUUUCUACCCAGUCACCCUCUCUUACUAUGAGAAGAUGGAUCUCCUGCUUAUCUUCAUAUAUGCGAUUCCUUUCACAGGUGGGAUAAACUACAUCCACACUCCAAUAACCAAGGAGUAAGAGAUGGAAAUUUGGGGAGGCUCUCACAAUCCCCAUCAGUAAUAAGGAAAGAACCCAUACUCCAGGGGGUGAGGCAGCAGGGGCUGUGAGAGGGGAGCCGUGUGCGGCUCUCAGCUUUGGACAGGGCCCUUGGAUCUUACAUAUGUGCGUGACAGUGAGGGACCCUCCAUCUCUGCAAUGGUGGACAGAGGCAGGGUAAUGGGACACAAGUGCAGGGGCUGGGUACUAGCAAGAAAGUGAGGGAUUGAGUUAAAGGCUGAAUGGUGUCCCCUGAAAAUUCCUGUGUUGAAGCCUAACCCUAAGUACCUCAGAAUGUGUUCUUAUUUGAGACGGUGUCUUUUGUUACUGUUGUUUUGGUUUGGUUUUUUUGAGACGGGGUCUCUCUCUGUCUCCCAGGCUGGAGUGCAGUGGUGUGAUCUCAGCUCCUUGCAGCCUCCACCUCCUGGACUCAAACUAUCCUCUCAAAUCAGCCUUAGGAACCACAGGGAUCUGUGGGGCCACGGGCACAUGCCUAUGCCUGGCUAAUUUUUCAUUUUUUUUUGUAGAGAUGAGGUUUCACGAUGCUGGCCAGGCUGGUCUUGAACUCCUGGGCUCAAGUGAUCCUCCAGCCUUGGCCUCCCAAAGUGCUGGGAUUACAGGCAUGAGCCAUGGUGCCUGUCCCUGAGACAGGGUCUCUACAGAGGUAAUCCGGUUAAGAUGAGGUCACUAGGGUAGGCUCUAAUUCAGUAUGACCUGGUGUCCUUAUAAAAAGGGGGAAAUGUGGAGCCUGAGACAGACACCCACAGAGGCCAGGUGAUGUAAAGAGACAUCCACAUCCUCAUCUGACCAUCUACAAGCUCAGAAGAGAGGUCUGGAACAGCAACUUCCCUCACAGCCGUCAGAAGGAAUCAACUCUGCCCACAUCCUCAUCUUGGACUUCCCAGUUUCUGAACUUGGAGAAAAUAAAUUUCUGUUGUUUAAGCCA